CGGUGGAGCAUGUGGUUAAUUCGAAGCAACGCGAAGAACCUUACCAGGUCUUGACAUCCCCUCGACAACCCGAGAGAUCGGCGGUUCCCCUUCCGGGGGACGAGGGUGACAGGUGGUGGCAUGGUUGUCGUCAGCUCGUGUCGUGAGAUGUUGGGUUAAGUCCCGCAACGAGCGCAACCCUCGACCUUAGUUGCCAGCAUUCAGUUGGGCACUCUAAGGUGACUGCCGGCUAAAAGUCGGAGGAAGGUGGGGAUGACGUCAAAUCAUCAUGCCCCUUAUGACCUGGGCUACACACGUGCUACAAUGGGCGGUACAAAGGGUCGCGAACCCGCGAGGGGGAGCCAAUCCCAAAAAGCCGCUCUCAGUUCGGAUUGCAGGCUGCAACUCGCCUGCAUGAAGCCGGAAUCGCUAGUAAUCGCGGAUCAGCAUGCCGCGGUGAAUACGUUCCCGGGCCUU
rnacentral:rRNA from 1 species